rnacentral:rRNA from 1 species
UCAUAUAACUGCGAUGGGAAGACGGAGUAGGUUAGCUCAGCAAGGCGAUGGUUGUCCUUGUUCAAGCGUGUAGAAAUGGUUCUUAGGAAAAUCCGGGAACCUCUAUUUCAAGGCGUGAUAACGAGCCCUCUUUUGGGCGAAGUGAGUGAGACCAUGCUUCCAGGAAAAUCCUCUAAGCUUCAGGUUAUAUGAAACCGUACCCCAAACCGACACAGGUGGACGAGAUGAGAAUUCUAAGGCGCUUGAGAGAACUCGGGUGAAGGAACUAGGCAAAAUGACACCGUAACUUCGGGAGAAGGUGUGCUCUUGUUAUGUGAUAUCACUUGCUGAUUGAGCAAAGAAGAGCUGAAAAAACUAGGUGGCUGCGACUGUUUAUUAAAAACACAGCACUCUGCAAACACGUAAGUGGACGUAUAGGGUGUGACUCCUGCCCGGUGCUUGAAGGUUAAUUGAUGAGGUUAGCGCUUGCGCGAAGCUUUUGAUCGAAGCCCAAGUAAACGGCGGCCGUAACUAUAACGGUCCUAAGGUAGCGAAAUUCCUUGUCGGGUAAGUUCCGACCUGCACGAAUGGAGUAACGACGGCCACACUGUCUCCACCCGAGACUCAGUGAAAUUGAAAUUGCUGUUAAGAUGCAGUAUACCCGCGGCCAGACGGAAAGACCCCGUGCACCUUUACUACAGCUUUGCAUUGAACUCUGAUCCUACUUGUGUAGGAUAGGUGGGAGGCUUUGAAGCUUUAACGCUAGUUAGAGUGGAGCCACCCUUGAAAUACCACCCUGGUAUGGUUGGGGUUCUAACCUUGGUCCGUAAUCCGGAUCGGGGACAAUGCAUGGUGGGUAGUUUGACUGGGGCGGUCUCCUCCUAAAGAGUAACGGAGGAGCGCAAAGGUAUCCUCAGCACGGUCGGACAUCGUGCAAUGAGCGCAAAGGUAAAAGGAUGCUUGACUGCGAGACUGACACGUCGAGCAGGUAGGAAACUAGGUCUUAGUGAUCCGGUGGUUCUGAGUGGAAGGACCAUCGCUCAACGGAUAAAAGGUACGCCGGGGAUAACAGGCUGAUACCCCCCAAGAGUUCACAUCGACGGGGGUGUUUGGCACCUCGAUGUCGGCUCAUCACAUCCUGGGGCUGAAGCAGGUCCCAAGGGUAUGGCUGUUCGCCAUUUAAAGUGGUACGCGAGCUGGGUUUAGAACGUCGUGAGACAGUUCGGUCCCUAUCUACCGUGGGCGUUGGAGACUUGAGGGAAGCUGUUCUUAGUACGAGAGGACCGGAAUGGACACACCUCUGGUGUUUCGGUUGUCACGCCAGUGGCAUUGCCGAGUAGCUAUGUGUGGAAAGGAUAACCGCUGAAAGCAUCUAAGCGGGAAGCCCCUCCCAAGAUUAGGUCUCCCUGAUUAUUUAAUAAUCCUAAAGAUCCCUCGAAGACUACGAGGUUGAUAGGCUAGGUGUGAAAGUGCAGCAAUGUAUUGAGCUAACUAGUACUAAUUGAUCGUGAGGCUUGACCAU